rnacentral:misc_RNA from 1 species
CGGUGGCGUCACUGGUGCUGG